rnacentral:lncRNA from 1 species
CUCAAGGCCCGCCCAUUAGGGGAGGGGACAAACGGGUUUCUGUGCUUUACGGCCUCUUCGCGACGCUAGAACGGAAGCCUGCCCGUAGCUAGGCCUUUGCUUUCUUUUCCUCACUUCCUUCGCGUGGCUGCAAUCGGGAAGGGCGGAGCUAGUUUGUUCCUUUUGGUCAGGGAGAAAAGAAACUUUACAAUAAAGAAACCGGGGAGAUGCCACCUUAACCAAAUGAUCGCAGGUCAGUCUGUCAAGCAGUACCCUGUCACUGGUGGCUAAGAAGAUGAAGAUAACUACCCAUGGGAUUCCAUGAACAGAGCAGUCAUCUCUACUGACCUCAGCCACAAAACACCAGCCUUUCUAGCUUCCCUGGAUCCUUUGCUAACUGUGUUUUUUUCUGGGAUAGUAUGUGGUUCUCUAUUUGGCUUGAGAACAGAACACUCCUUCAAAUGGUUGAAGUAUCUUCAUUAUAUACAUGGUCUGCGCUUUAUCAUACUAAUUUUUUUUUCGAGGCAAGUUCUCACUCUGUCGUCCAGGCUGGAGUGCAGUGGCAUG